rnacentral:rRNA from 1 species
CAUAAACCAAAGUAGGACUACACGCCCUACUCGCCAGAACACUUAUAGCAAAAACUUAAAACUCAAAGGACUUGACGGUGUUGCAAACCACCCUAGAGGAGCCUGUCCUAUAAUCGAUAACCCACGUUCCACCUUACCCACUUUUGCCAUUAACAGCCUAUAUACCGCCGUCGCAAGCCCACCUUUUGAAAGUACCUCAGUAGGCUAAAUAGCCUGCCCGCUAACACGUCAGGUCAAGGUGUAGCCAAUGAGUGGGAACUAAGAUGGGCUACACUCUCUCUUUAAGAGACAAAAUCUCCAAUGCAAACAGAUAGAACGUUGGAUUUAGUAGUAAACCUGACAAGCAAGUCAUAUUGAAAUAAGCGCUG